rnacentral:rRNA from 1 species
GACGAACGCUGGCGGCGUGCUUAACACAUGCAAGUCGAACGGAAAGGCCCUGCUUUUGUGGGGUGCUCGAGUGGCGAACGGGUGAGUAACACGUGAGUAACCUGCCCUUGACUUUGGGAUAACUUCAGGAAACUGGGGCUAAUACCGGAUAGGAGCUCCUGAUGCACGGUGGGGGUUGGAAAGUUUCGGCGGUUGGGGAUGGAAUCGCGGCUUAUCAGCUUGUUGGUGGGGUAGUGGCUUAACAAGGCUUUGACGGGUAGCCGGCCUGAGAGGGUGACCGGCCACAUUGGGACUGAGAUGCGGCCCAGACUCCUACGUGAGGCAGCAGUGGGGAUUAUUGCACAAUGGGCGGAAGCCUUAUGCAGCAACGCCGCGUGCUGGAUGACGGCCUUCGGGUUGGAACCCGCUUUCGCCUGUGACGAAGCGUGAGUGACGGUAAUGGGUAAAGAAGCACCGGCUAACUACGUG